rnacentral:rRNA from 1 species
GCCUGGUAGUGGGGGAUAACGUCCGGAAACGGGCGCUAAUACCGCAUACGUCCUGAGGGAGAAAGUGGGGGAUCUUCGGACCUCACGCUAUCAGAUGAGCCUAGGUCGGAUUAGCUAGUUGGUGGGGUAAAGGCCUACCAAGGCGACGAUCCGUAACUGGUCUGAGAGGAUGAUCAGUCACACUGGAACUGAGACACGGUCCAGACUCCUACGGGAGGCAGCAGUGGGGAAUAUUGGACAAUGGGCGAAAGCCUGAUCCAGCCAUGCCGCGUGUGUGAAGAAGGUCUUCGGAUUGUAAAGCACUUUAAGUUGGGAGGAAGGGCAGUAAGUUAAUACCUUGCUGUUUUGACGUUACCAACAGAAUAAGCACCGGCUAACUUCGUGCCAGCAGCCGCGGUAAUACGAAGGGUGCAAGCGUUAAUCGGAAUUACUGGGCGUAAAGCGCGCGUAGGUGGUUCAGCAAGUUGGAUGUGAAAUCCCCGGGCUCAACCUGGGAACUGCAUCCAAAACUACUGAGCUAGAGUACGGUAGAGGGUGGUGGAAUUUCCUGUGUAGCGGUGAAAUGCGUAGAUAUAGGAAGGAACACCAGUGGCGAAGGCGACCACCUGGACUGAUACUGACACUGAUGUGCGAAAGCGUGGGGGAGCAAACAGGAUUAGAUACCCUGGUAGUCCACGCCGUAACGAUGUCGACUAGCCGUUGGGGAUCCUUGAGAUCUUAGUGGGCGCAGCUAAACGCCGAUUA